rnacentral:misc_RNA from 1 species
UCCGGUUUAGACCGGCGGUCUCCCUAGAGAUGUCAACACAGGAUAAGGGUUGCGCUCGUUGCGGGACUUAACCCAACAUCUCACGACACGAGCUGACGACAGCCAUGCACCACCUGUAUCCGGCCCCGAAGGACACCCUAUCUCUAGAGCUUUUCCGGACAUGUCAAACCCAGGUAAGGUCCUUCGCGUUGCAUCGAAUUAAGCAACACGCUCCGCUGCUUGUGCGGGCCCCCGUCAAUUCCUUUGAGUUUCAACCUUGCGGUCGUACUCCCCAGGCGGGGUACUUCCUGCGUUAGCGCCGGCACCCAGAGGGUCGCUCCCCCAGGCACCUAGUACCCAUCGUUUACGGCGUGGACUAC